GAGGGAACAGCAAAGGAUUGAAAGAGAAAAUAUGGCUUUAUUGAAACGGCUUGAAGCUGUGAAGCCAACAGUUGGCAUGAAACGCUCUGAACAGCUGAUGGACUACCAUCGGAAUAUCAGUUACCUCAACCCUUCACCGUCCGUCAGACGAGUGAGAUCUACUCUUGGCCAUUACAGCCCACUGAGAGGAGCUUCCAGGACAUCCAGUGCAACCAGUGGUCUCAGUUGUAAGACUGAUCGAUCAGUGUUGGACACAUCCAGUGGCUUUUUGCUAAGACCGAAACCCCCGAAUGUUCGUACUGCUUGGUUGUAAAACCUUUUUUUAUGAUAUACAUUGUUCAUCUGUUGGUCCUGUUUUAACGA
rnacentral:lncRNA from 1 species